ACCCGCGUCCCCGCGUCCCCGCGUCCUCGCGCCGCACUUGAUGAAGAAGACACGGCCGUCCCGGCACACCCCGUAGGACCAGUGCUCAGUUCCAACAUGUCAGCUGGAUGAGAGAAGGGGCUUUGAUCUACCUCAUACACUGCCUUGUCUCCAACGCCUGGAACAGCGCCUGACUCAUGUCCUACAUACUAAUGAAACUACUGGCUCAGCUGGUCUGAAGGACCCCAUGAAGAGCUGACUCACCAAAGAAUGCAGUUUCCACAUCCUGAGCUUUUCAUCCCCCGCCCCACUGCACCCCAUGCCCAACCAGUCAAUGAUAGCCCCUCAUCCUCCACAAUCCCCUUAAAAACUCCAGCCCAAAACUCCACAGAAAUAUAAAUUUGAAGGUCUCCUCCUGUCUCCUCACUUGUCGUCCUGCAAUCAUUAAACUCGUUCUCCACUACAUCCCUGCCGUCUCAGUCUAAUCAUUCUGUUACUACACAACAGACAUACAAAGCUGUUGGUCCUAAAGCGGUAGGGAGCAGGCAGCAUCCACACAAGAUGUUCACGGGCCCCAGAGCAGUGAAAGGACCGCACAAGUUCAGCUAAGGUUUCCUCACCCCUCACCCUUGUUCCCAACACCAUGCUGUUCUCUGUGCCUCUGACGUAAUCACCCUCUUCCUUUAUAUUUUCAUUUAAAAACUUUCUCUUAAGCAUCUACUUUGUGUCAGUCCUAUAGUAGGAGACAAUGUAAGCAAAGAGAGAUAGCAGGAAAGUAAACUAUUAGAGUUCUCAAGAAACAGAACCAAUUGAGAGAUUUAUUAUAAGGAAUUGGCUCACGUGAUUCUGGAAGCCAGUAAGAUCUGCAGUAGGCACGCUAGAGACCCAGCAGUGCCAAUGUGCAAUUCCUACCCUCAGGCCGGAGAAAAAACCCUCACAUCCCAGCUUGCAGACAGUCAGGCAGGAGGAAUUCCCUUUUAUUUGGGAGAGGGUCAGCCUUUCAUUUUAUUCAGACUUUCAACUGAUUGAUGGGCCCCCACUACAUGCACGCAUUAGGGAGAUCAAUCUGCUUUACUUAGUCUAUUGAUUUAAACGUUAAACUCAGCCGUGUGCAUGCGGUG